rnacentral:tRNA from 1 species
AAUGAGGUGCCUGAUAAAAGGAUUACUGUGAUAGAGUAAAUCAUGUAAUAAUUUACCUUCAUUA